rnacentral:rRNA from 1 species
UACAGAGGGGGCUAGCGUUGUUCGGAAUUACUGGGCGUAAAGGGCGCGUAGGUGGCCUGUUAAGUCGAACGUGAAAUCCCCGGGCUCAACCCGGGAACUGCGUCCGAGACUGGCAGGCUCGAAUCCGGGAGAGGGAUGUGGAAUUCCAGGUGUAGCGGUGAAAUGCGUAGAUAUCUGGAGGAACACCGGUGGCGAAGGCGGCAUCCUGGACCGGUACUGACGCUGAGGAGCGAAAGCGUGGGAGCGAACAGG